rnacentral:misc_RNA from 1 species
GAUGAAGAACGUAGCGAAAUGCGAUAAGUAAUGCGAAUUGCAGAAUCCGUGAAUCAUCGAAUCUUUGAACGCACAUUGCGCCCGCCAGUAUUCUGGCGGGCAUGCCUGUUCGAGCGUCAUUACAACCCUCAGGCCCCCGGGCCUGGCGUUGGGGAUCGGCGGAGCCCCCCGUGGGCACACGCCGUCCCCCAAAUACAGUGGCGGUCCCGCCGCAGCUUCCAUCGCGUAGUAGCUAACACCUCGCGACUGGAGAGCGGCGCGGCCACGCCGUAAAACACCCAACUCUUCUGAAGUUGACCUCGAAUCAGGUAGGGAUACCCGCUGAACUUAAGCAUAUCAAUAAGCGGAGGA